AUAAAUCCAACGAAUAUAGAGACAUAUAAGAUAGUAGAUGAAAAUAUAU
rnacentral:guide_RNA from 1 species